AUCCCACAGCAAACCCCGAGCCCACAGAGGCAAGUGGUAAACUCCAGGAGACUUGGGACUCAUUGGAUGGCUUUGAACCUGGUCACCCUGUCACAGAGUUUAAUGAGAUUAAGGCGCCACAGGAACACCUGCUUCAAAAUCUCCAGAAUGACGCCCAGCCGGUAGAAGAUGGCUUUGCAGGCCCUUGGGAGGCCCCAUCCAGCAACCUCACAGCUGCAAUGACAGAAGCCAAUCUGACAGAAUUUGAGUCUCUUGGCAGGACAUCGAAACAUCUGCUGCAGCCCCAUAUCCAUGCAUUCCUGGAAGCACACUUCAGUCCCAUCUGGAAGAGCUUCAACGAGAGCUUACAGAGCCUCUUCCAGGCCAUCAGAAAUCUGUCUCUUGAUG
rnacentral:lncRNA from 1 species